rnacentral:rRNA from 1 species
GAUGAACGCUGGCGGCGUGCCUAAUACAUGCAAGUCGAGCGAACGGACGAGAAGCUUGCUUCUCUGAUGUUAGCGGCGGACGGGUGAGUAACACGUGGAUAACCUACCUAUAAGACUGGGAUAACUUCGGGAAACCGGAGCUAAUACCGGAUAAUAUUUUGAACCGCAUGGUUCAAAAGUGAAAGACGGUCUUGCUGUCACUUAUAGAUGGAUCCGCGCUGCAUUAGCUAGUUGGUAAGGUAACGGCUUACCAAGGCAACGAUGCAUAGCCGACCUGAGAGAGUGGGCGGGCAAGAUGGGCAUGAGGCGCGGCACAGACGCCAACGGGGAGGAGCAAGGGGGGAUCGUUGGGUAAGGGUCGAAGGAUGGAAGAGCAAAGACGGGGGAGUGAUGAAGAGCUUCGGGUUGUAAAGAUCUGUUAAUCGGGACGAAAAGACUUCUUGCGAACAAAGAAAGGGAUUGACGAUACCGGAAUAGAAAGCCACGGCUAACUACGUG